AUAGUACUCCCUCCGUUCCAAAAUUCUUGUCUUAGAUUUGUCUAAAUACAGAUGUAUCAAGUCAGUUUUAGUAUUAGAUACAUCAGUAUCUAGACAAAUCUAAGAUAAGAAUUUUGGGACUAAGGGAGUAUAAA
rnacentral:pre_miRNA from 1 species